UACGUAGGGAGCAAGCGUUGUUCGGAUUUACUGGGCGUAAAGGGCGCGUAGGCGGCAAAUUAAGUCAGCUGUGAAAUCUCCGAGCUUAGCUCGGAACGGUCAGCUGAUACUGAUCUGCUAGAGUGCGGAAGGGGCAAUCGGAAUUCUUGGUGUAGCGGUGAAAUGCGUAGAUAUCAGGAGGAACACCGGUGGCGAAGGCGGAUCUCUGGGCCAUUACUGACGCUGAGGAGCGAAAGCGUGGGGAGCGAACAGG
rnacentral:rRNA from 1 species